GACGAACGCUGGCGGCGUGCUUAACACAUGCAAGUCGAACGGAAAGGCCUUUUCGUGGGUACUCGAGUGGCUAACGGGUGAGUAACACGUGGGUGAUCUGCCCUCCAGUCUGGGAUAAGCCUGGAUAACUGGGGCUAAUACCUAAUAGAUCAGCACUUUAGUGUGUUUGGUUGAAAGUUGUUUCUGUGUAGGAUGAGCCCGCGGCCUAUCGGCUGUUUUGUUGGGUAGUGGCCUACCAAAGCGGCGACGGGUAGCCGGACUGAGAGGUUGGUCGGGCCCAUUGGGCCUGCGAUAGGCAGCAGAAGCCUAUGGGCGGCAGCAGUGGGGAAUAUUGCACAAUGGGCGCAAGCCUGAUGAGGAGACGCCGGGUGGGGGAUGACGGGCUUCGGGUUGUAAACUCCUUUCGCCAGGGACGAAGCGCUUUGUGACGGUACCUGGCGAAGAAGCACCGGCUAACUACGUG
rnacentral:rRNA from 1 species